CUGUGUGUGUCUGUGUGUCUGUGUGUGUGUGUGUGUGUGUGCUAUAACUAUAUUUCUUUACGUUAAUUUAUUUUAUGGGGAUAUAAAAGCGAUUUCUCAAGAGUUUAAAAAAUAUAUAGAAUCACACCUGUUUCAAUUGGGCAGAGCUCAUUUGGUCGCUAAUCUGUACUUCCUUUCAUAAGAGCUUUGGGCCGUAUUAAAAAGAUAAUGUAUAUGAUUUUUUUAAUAGUCCUGUGUAAGAAAGAUAAAUGGGAGGAUAAGAUAGAGAAGAGAAUAGGAUAAUCAGGAUAAUAAUUUGAGUCUUUGAUAAAUGGGGAAUUAGACAAGAGAAAAAGUUCACCUCUAAGUUCAUUGACCUGUCUCAUUUUCCUUCCUCCUCUUCCUCUCCUUCUCUUUUUUCCUCCUCCUCUAUCUUCCUAUUCUUCCUUCUCAUAUUGUAUUCUACGCAUCCCGAACUCUACAGGAACCCAAAACUUCUCGGAUUGAACUUGUAAUAAGGUUAGGAUAAUUUUGGGGUGUAGAUAAUUAGGCUGCUUAAAGUAAAAAGAUAUAAUUGUGUCAGAAAUAUAAGGGAAAAUAGAGUAAGGUUAGUCUUGUUUAUAAUUAGAAUGGAAUAAGGAAAAGAAGGGAAUGAAUGGGAUGUUUAAAGGAAAAAAAUGAGAAAAAUAUAGUUAGAUUAGGUUACGUUAAUAUAUAGUUUGAAAUAAAGGAGAAAAAGAGAAUUAAGAAGAUUGAGUAAGGUUAGUCUAGUUCAUAAUUAGAAUUAGAUUAGGAAAAGAAGGGAAUGAAUGAGAUUUUAAAAGGAAAAAAAUGAGAAAAAUAUAGUUAGAUUAGGUUACGUUAAUAUAUAGUUUGAAAUAAAGGAGAAAAAGAGAAUUAAGAAGAUUGAGUAAAGUUCAUAAUUAGAAUCAAAUAAGGAAAAGAAGGGAAUGAAUGAGAUGUUUAAAGGAAAAAAAUGAGAAAAAUAUAGUUAGAUUAGGUUACGUUAAUAUAUAGUUUGAAAUUAUGGAGAAAAAGAGAAUUAAGAAGAUUAGUCUAGUUCAUAAUUAGAAUCGAAUUAGGAAAAGAAGGGAAUGAAUGAGAUUUUAAAAGGAAAAAAAUGAGAAAAAUAUAGUUAGAUUAGGUUACGUUAAUAUAUAGUUUGAAAUAUUGCAGAAAAAGAGAAUUAAGAAGAUUAGUCUAGUUCAUAAUUAGAAUUGAAUAAGGAAAAGAAGGGAAUGAAUGAGAUUUUAAAAGGAAAAAAAUGAGAAAAAUAUAGUUAGCUUAGGUUACGUUAAUACACAGUUUGAAAUAAUGGAGAAAAAGAGAAUUAAGAAGAUUGAGUAAGGUUAGUCUAGUUCAUAAUUAGAAUUGAAUAAGGAAUUAAAGGGAAUGAAUGAGAUUUUAAAAGGAAAAAAAUGAGAAAAAUAUAGUUAGAUUAGGUUACGUUAAUAUAUAGUUUGAAAUAAUGGAGAAAAAGAGAAUUAAGAAAGUUAGUCUAGUUCAUAAUUAGAAUGGAAUUAGGAAAAGAAGGGAAUGAAUGAGAUUUUAAAAGGAAAAAAAUGAGAAAAAUAUAGUUAGCUUAGGUUACGUUAAUAUAUAGUUUGAAAUAAUGGAGAAAAAGAGAAUUAAGAAGAUUAGUCUAGCUUAUAAUUAGAAUCGAAUUAGGAAAAGAAGGGAAUGAAUGAGAUGUUUAAAGGAAAAAAAUGAGAAAAAUAUAGUUAGAUUAGGUUACGUUAAUAUAUAGUUUGAAAUAUUGCAGAAAAAGAGAAUUAAGAAGAUUGAGUAAAAUUAGUUUAGCUUAUAAUUAGAAUCAAAUAAGGAAAAGAAGGGAAUGAAUGAGAUUUUAAAAGGAAAAAAAUGAGAAAAAUAUAGUUAGAUUAGGUUACGUUAAUAUAUAGUUUGAAAUAAAGGAGAAAAAGAGAAAUAAGAAGAUUAGUCUAGUUCAUAAUUAGAAUCGAAGUAGGAAAAGAAGGGAAUGAAUGAGAUUUUAAAAGGAAAAAAAUGAGAAAAAUAUAGUUAGCUUAGGUUACGUUAAUAUAUAGUUUGAAAUAAAGGAGAAAAAGAGAAUUAAGAAGAUUGAGUAAGGUUAGUCUACUUCAUAAUUAGAAUCAAAUAAGGAAAAGAAGGGAAUGAAUGAGAUUUUAAAAGGAAAAAAAUGAGAAAAAUAUAGUUAGAUUAGGUUACAUUAAUAUAUAGUUUGAAAUUAUGGAGAAAAAGAGAAUUAAGAAGAUUGAGUAAGGUUAGUCUAGUUCAUAAUUAGAAUCAAAUAAGGAAUUAAAGGGAAUGAAUGAGAUUUUUAAAGGAAAAAAAUGAGAAAAAUAUAGUUAGAUUAGGUUACGUUAAUAUAUAGUUUGAAAUAAAGGAGAAAAAGAGAAUUAAGAAGAUUGAGUAAGAUUAGUCUAGUUCAUAAUUAGAAUGGAAUAAGGAAAAUAAGGGAAUGAAUGAGAUUUUAAAAGGAAAAAAAUGAGAAAAAUAUAGUUAGAUUAGGUUACGUUAAUACACAGUUUGAAAUAUUGCAGAAAAAGAGAAUUAAGAAGAAAUAUUAAUAGGAAUAUGUUAGGAUUAGGCUAUUGAAGGGUUUAAUUGAAGAUAUAUAUUGAGGGAAGUUUAAAGAUUAGCAACAAGGUAAAAUAUAUAUUAGAAUCAGUUAUGUUACAAAAUGGUUUAGAUAGUUAGAUUAGGUUAGGUCACACAUAGGUUACGUUAAGUUAAUAAAUGGUUUAAAAUAAGAUUGGAAAGGAGGAUUAAGUAGAAAAAAUAAAAGGAAAAUGAUAUAAAUAAAUUAGAAAGUGUUAUCCCAGUGAUAUUUUAAUAAUGACAGUGAUUGGAAUUUAAACAGCAUAGUAGUAGUAGUAGUAGUAGUAGUAGUAGUAGUAGUAGUAGUAGUAGUAGUAGAAUUGAAAGAAGGGUAUUUAAGGCUUUAGUAAUGAAGGAAAAAAUACUUGUUAAUUCGUUAAGCUACAAAGAGGUUUAAAUUAAGAGGAAGGAAAAAAAAGGAAGGAUUUGAAAAGUAGGAAAAAAAGUUCAUAUUUGCUAGAAACGAAAUCUGUGUGUGUGUGUG